CGGGGGCGAGGUGAAGCCCAGCCUCAUAUCUCCCUGUGAACUCAGGACUCAGCUAACCUGCAUAUUGGGACGCGUGAUGCUUUCCAGACUAGGCCAAGAACACAAGACAGACACUCUCAGGAUGGCAAGGCCACAGUAGACAGAUGGCUCAAUGAGGACCCUGUGUGCUAGGGAAGAGAGAUAGAGUUUUUUCAGACCUCGCUUAAAGAGAAAUAGUUUUCCCGUGACCAACCAAUGGGAGUGGCGUUCCUUCUCCCUAUAGCCUUUCUUUCCUGGUGGUAGUGGGAUUACCGAAAAGCUCUUACCGGCUUAGCAUUGUUUCUGUAGGAGUGAGAAAUGGCAAAAAUUGAGAACGUUCCCCCCCCCCCACCCCCCAAGCAGGAAGUUAAAACAGAAGAACUCAGGGGGAGAAAAAAGUGUCUCCAUUAUGAUGAUGAAAUAAAAAAAUAAGAAGUCCUCAGAGCGGGUGGUAGGACCCAGAGUUUGCGAGGAACCGAAGCUAUUCAUGGUCCGUGGAACUGGGGCACUCCUGGUACUUCUGUUUCUUGUGGGUUGGGAUGAACCGGAAGCUGCCCCUCCACGGAAAGAUCUCCACGGUUGCUUCUCUCCGGGUUUGUGGUGCGAUCAGGUUGAUCCAGGACACAUUCAACAAAUUCGACUAGUUUAUCUAGUCCCAGAGGAGCCACGACUCAGCGCUGGGCGGCAAAGUCAGCAAUAGUUACAGUGUGCUUGAAAGCUCUGUGUGGUGACCUCGGCUCAGACCCGGGGCAGCAUGGGUAAUCCAAGCAGUUGGCCAGCUUCUUCCUUGCGGACACAAACUCCCGACCUUAGCAUACCCUCCUCCAUUUCUCACUGCAAGCAAAGCAGGAGAUUCAUUUCUUAUACCCCAGCACAGUGCCAAGAAGGAGCGUGUUAAUAUCCCCCUCCCACCCCCUUGUGAAUUGGAUUACUUAACACAUCUUUUUGGAGAUGUCAGCAGUUUAAUAGAGGCAAUAAGUCAGGGCUGCCCUUGUGUUUUAUUUUUCUGCCAGUAUUUAGUUAAUUAAAGAAUGCAAAUUAAAACACCUUAAUUUAUAUAAUAUCAAUACCAACGCCUUAAAACAUUUGGCAUAACUGUGCUGGCACGUCCCUUACAUAAACUCUUCGGAGCGGUACUAAUAAAAAUGAAAAGGGCUGUAAAUCAAGUUUAAUUUAUUCAUUUUUGUUUGGUAUGAAAGCAUAUGCCAGAAUUGGGUUAUUUAUGAGUGUGUAAUAACAAUAGGUAUUUUUUCUUAACCAGCUACAAAUGACAAGAAAGGUUUUCAGGAGGCUAUGGUUUUAACUUCGAAUCAUCUCAAAGUACAUCUAUUUUUCAGGCCCUGAUCUCUAGAAUUGAUACUUUUGCUUUCCCAUCUACAGUCAAAAACAGACUAAGGUAUGAAAAAAAAAAAACAUAUUCAACUUAGAAACAGAACCUCCCACCCCCUGAAAAUCACCUGCAACCAUUUGUGUGGAAAGAAACACGCACAACGCAUCCCGUGGCGUAUGAACCUCAGGCACUAUUUGCAAGGCCUUAGCCCCCUGAGCAGUCAUGUCGACCUUGGCUAAACACUUGAGACUUUUCCCUGACUCUGACCCAUGCCCAGAUGUAUAACAUAAACAACUGGUGUGUUCUACCAAAACAAGCGUUCCUUGGUUCCCCUGGUUCACACAUGAUGAUGUCAUUGUGGGUUUUGCCUGUAUUACUAGUUUUCCCUGGUCUACAUGUGAUGAUGUCAUUUUAGGUUUUGCCUGUAUAAAUGCUCUUGAGCUCUGGUACUAAGAAUUCUUUGGGGGGCAAAAAAAGCCCUUUUCUCUGUCGUUGGUUAAUAAAGGACUCUAAUUGGGUCACAUAUGCAUGGCGGUCUACAAAAUUAUCAUCUGGACUAUAAUAACAGGAAGAGAAGUUGAAAAAAAAAACAACAACAAAAACUUGUCCACUUU
rnacentral:lncRNA from 1 species